CGGCGGACGGGUGAGUAACGCGUGGGUAACCUGCCCUGUACACAUGGAUAACAUACCGAAAGGUAUGCUAAUACAAGAUAAAAUAUAUUUAUCGCAUGAUAGAUAUAUCAAAGCGUUAGCGGUACAGGAUGGACCCGCGUCUGAUUAGCUAGUUGGUAAGGUAAAGGCUUACCAAGGCGACGAUCAGUAGCCGACCUGAGAGGGUGAUCGGCCACAUUGGAACUGAGACACGGUCCAAACUCCUACGGGAGGCAGCAGUGGGGAAUAUUGCACAAUGGGCGAAAGCCUGAUGCAGCAACGCCGCGUGAGCGAAGAAGGCCUUCGGGUCGUAAAGCUCUGUCCUCAAGGAAGAUAAUGACGGUACUUGAGGAGGAAGCCCCGGCUAACUACGUGCCAGCAGCCGCGGUAAUACGUAGGGGGCAAGCGUUAUCCGGAUUUACUGGGCGUAAA
rnacentral:rRNA from 1 species